UGUGAAGAAAUGAACUCUUGUAAUAGUUUUAGAGGAAUUAAUAAUGUUAGUAAAAUGUUAAUGGUGAAUGUGCUAAUGUAAAGAGUUAGAAGAUUAGUAAUGCAUUCUUUUGCAUGGAAAUAAGAAUAUAAUAAAUGUCCUGCAGGUGAUUGGAGCUGCAGCGAUUUUAUUGUAGAUUAAAGUUCUACUGACCUUUGCUAGGGUGAUUAACCCUUCUGAAAUUAAAAGCCAGGGCUAAAUUAUUCUGUCCAAUUUAAAUGCAAA
ensembl:misc_RNA